UAUAAGUACGUGUGGCACAUUAUUCUAGUCAAUUAAGUUUAUUACGAAGACGGGCCUAAAAAUCCGUUAAAGAGCACAACUGUGAAACACAUGGUGCUUGCUUCUUAUGCCCAAUUUGGGGCGAGUGCUGAGUGGUAAGAAAGUUGGGCGACCGUAAUGGCAUACGAUACCCGUUCCAAUUUUCAUGGAGACCUAAUCUUGUAGUAGAUCUAUACACAACAGUUGACGAAAUACUAUGACUUAGGAUUAAACCUACUAUGUAUUGAAUUUACGAGUAGUGUAGCUUGUCUUGCGUGAUGAUAGGGAAUUGUUGAUCAGCUUAUAAUAUGUUAAUAGCUAUAACUAUUUUAAGUAUUGCAACAUGAAACUAUCAUUGCAAAAAAGAAUAACUAAUAAACAAUUGGUGAGGAAAACUCCUAGAGUGUCAUAAUAUAGGAUUAUGGUGUGUACUAAGUGGCAAUCAAGUCAUAUAAUAGGCGACUUUAUAUUAUUCUCUUUAAAGGGGAACCACAUAGAUGGUAACGUCUAUGUAGAGAAUAGGGAAAUCCUACUUGACCUAAGACGCAAAGUUAACUAUAUUAAUAGCCAUAUGAUAAA
rnacentral:sRNA from 1 species